rnacentral:rRNA from 2 species
GUCGUACGCACUGGCCCAACUGAUUGAUGGUGCUUGCACCUGAUUGACGAUGGAUUACCAGUGAGUGGCGGACGGGUGAGUAACACGUAGGUAACCUGCCCCGGAGCGGGGGAUAACAUUUGGAAACAGAUGCUAAUACCGCAUAACAACAAAAGCCACAUGGCUUUUGUUUGAAAGAUGGCUUUGGCUAUCACUCUGGGAUGGACCUGCGGUGCAUUAGCUAGUUGGUAAGGUAACGGCUUACCAAGGCGAUGAUGCAUAGCCGAGUUGAGAGACUGAUCGGCCACAAUGGAACUGAGACACGGUCCAUACUCCUACGGGAGGCAGCAGUAGGGAAUCUUCCACAAUGGGCGCAAGCCUGAUGGAGCAACACCGCGUGAGUGAAGAAGGGUUUCGGCUCGUAAAGCUCUGUUGUUGGAGAAGAACGUGCGUGAGAGUAACUGUUCACGCAGUGACGGUAUCCAACCAGAAAGUCACGGCUAACUACGUGCCAGCAGCCGCGGUAAUACGUAGGUGGCAAGCGUUAUCCGGAUUUAUUGGGCGUAAAGCGAGCGCAGGCGGUUGCUUAGGUCUGAUGUGAAAGCCUUCGGCUUAACCGAAGAAGUGCAUCGGAAACCGGGCGACUUGAGUGCAGAAGAGGACAGUG